rnacentral:lncRNA from 1 species
AUUCUAACAGUCUAUAAAGGCUCAUACCUAUUCAUUCCACCAGAGCAGCUUCCAUGUCUUCUCAAAAUAUUUGCAGUUCAUUUCUGAAGUUAACUUGCUAUAUUAGUCAAAUAAUCAAGACUUCCUUUUUGACACAUUGCUGCCACAAUCUCAGAAUUAGAAUUACAGAGUGUAGGAAAUUAGAAGUCAAGGCCAAUGACAAGAUUGGAUUUUUUUCAUAAUGAACAUCAGUGAAUACUAAAAAUUGUUUUCCUAAAAUAAGACUUGGGACAGCAAGAUGGCUCAUGGGGUAGGGACAGCAAGAUGGCUCAUGGGGUAAGAAGCGCUUGCCACACAAGCCACAGGCCUGGCAACCUGAGCUCACUCUCCAGAGCUCAGUGAAUGUUCUUUUGGCUUCCACAUGUGAGCCAUGGCACAUGUGUCCACACUUACACUAUUAGCCAAAAACGUUCUAACACAGGGCAUCGACCAAUGGAACCAGACUACUGUCUGAAGUCAUACCGUUAAAGGAUCCAGAUUUGGAUAUAACAUUUUGCAAUCAACUGGCAUUUAGAUGAAGGCUUGCCUCUCUGAGGAAGUAAAACAAAAUGUUCAGGGGUAAAUCUAACACUACAGAAGAAAUGCUACUGAAAAAAAAAAUUUUUUUUUUCAUCUUGGGCAAGUCUGUAAACUAUAGCUGUGUUAUAGAAAAAUGCUUGUUAAUGGUUACUGUAAUUAUUCCACUGUGGAUAAAAAUGUGUAGAAAUAAAUACUUUUGAAUAAAGUGGUGUGCCAAAUCUG